GACGAACGCUGGCGGCGUGCUUAACACAUGCAAGUCGAACGGAAAGGCCCUGCUUUUGUGGGGUGCUCGAGUGGCGAACGGGUGCGUAACACGUGAGUAACCUGCCCUUGACUUUGGGAUAACUUCAGGAAACUGGGGCUCAUACCGGAUAGGAGCUCCUGCUGCAUGGUGGGGGUUGGAAAGUUUCGGCGGUUGGGGAUGGACUCGCGGCUUAUCAGCUUGUUGGUGGGGUAGUGGCUUACCAAGGCUUUGACGGGUAGCCGGCCUGAGAGGGUGACCGGCCACAUUGGGACUGAGAUACGGCCCAGACUCCUACGGGAGGCAGCAGUGGGGAAUAUUGCACAAUGGGCGGAAGCCUGAUGCAGCAACGCCGCGUGCGGGAUGACGGCCGUCGGGUUGUAAACCGCUUUCGCCUGUGACGAAGCGUGAGUGACGGUAAUGGGUAAAGAAGCACCGGCUAACUACGUG
rnacentral:rRNA from 1 species